UUUAUUUUUAUUUUUGGUCAUAAUUAAUCAUGAAUUCCUUUGUUUAAUAACAGAGACAAUCCUUUUGGGCUUUCUUGUUUUCCAUUAUGGAAAUGCAAUAUACAUCUUUGUAAUCACAAUAAAUAGUAGAUUUGUUAAUUUGCAGAACUAUAAAAUUGGCUUUUCAGAAUUGAUUUGUCUUCAUGUUGAAUGGAUGAAACCAUCAUUUUAGUGUUAUUUUCAUGUAAGACCUGAUGUGUGAGGCAGAGAAAUAGACCAAAGAUGGGUUCAUAAACAUCAUUUUGGACAGUUGGAGUUGAAAUUAAAAGAAGUCCCUAUUUUCUGCUCCAAGCGGCUUUCAGGUGAGGUAGGCAAGUUAGAAUAAGAAGCAGAAAACUCUCUCUCAUUGCCACGCGGCCAUUGCUUCCAUCAGUGCUUAUUUAGUGCCAAGAGAUUCUUGUGGACAUAACAUUGAAUUUUGAGAUAAAAGAAGAAGUUCAAAGAAUUUCCUGAAAUGUUUGUUGGACUGUUUAACAGCAGCUGUUUAAGUCAUUGCCAUUUUUGGUCUUUGUGGGAUUGGCCUAAAGACAAGGAAUGGUAAUGAUGAAGCAAAAUACAUUCUGGAAAUAGAGAUCCCAAAGAACUACUGAUGAAAGAUACAAGUAUUGAAGUUGAUUUGGGAGAGGGUGGGAGAUAUUAAAACAAAAUUGGAAGACAAAGCCUGUGGCUUGCACCUGGACUGUCAACUACAAUGUUGUUCAAUCCUUGGGUAGCUCAAGCAAAUAAUGAUGUGCCUUUUGCACUGGACUUUGGGAGUUCUGGGAUGAUUAUUAGGAAAUGAUUAUGAGUGCCAUUCUAUGGAAUAAUCAUUGUUGUUUUAAUAACUUUGAAGAAUGUUGCUUGUGAUAAGCAACUUCUUUUAUUUAUUUGCAGUUUCUCAGUUUAUAUUGAGCAGCUCAAAUGAUGUCCCAAGAAAGUAAAACAGGUGAAGUAGAAGUACAUGUUUUAUAUAUCAGGUGGCGGGAGGUCUGACGAGAGAGAGAGAGAGAGAGAGAGAGAGAGAGAGAAUUUAUGUAUUCCCGACUGAACAGUGAGUAGCAUCCAUGAUUAUUAAGUACAUAACUUGUUAAGAUGUGGCUUGAGGACUUAGGUUCGAUCUUAUUAUAGAGUAUUAGCUCAUUUAGUUUCUGACAGUUUCCCGUGGAAGAGCAUUUGGAAACCGCUUGUCCCCAAUAAGGUGGCGUUUUUCCUUUGGGGAAUAUCCUUACAGUGGAGAACCUGAGGAAGCGAAACAUUAUUUUGGUGAGCUGCUGUUGUAUGUGCAAGAGGGACAAGGAGAUAGUAGACCACUUAUUGUUGCAUUGCCCUAAUGCUAUAGAUUUAUGGGAUUUGGCUUUUGCUCUUUUUGGGGUGGAGUGGGUGAUGCCUAGAAAGGUUGAUCUUCUAGCAUGUUGGCAAGGUCAUUUUGGCAUCAUUGGAGCUGUGAAAUAUGGAAACCCAUCCCUCAAUGUUUAAUGUGGUGCAUUUGGAGGGAAAGAAAUGCAAGGAGCUUUGAAGGAUUUGAGCAGAAAACUUUAGAAUUAAAAAUCAAAUUUUUUGAAGACCUUGCUUGAGUGGAUGGUAGCUUCAGGGAAGUUUUCUUUUUCAAAUUUAUUUGAUUUUAUCAUUCAUUUUAAUUUUAGAACUCUUGUGACCUUCAGCUAGUAUACUUCAUGUGUACUUGUUGAUUUUAUUUUUUUGAAUCAGUAUUAUUACUUAUUAAAAAAGAAUAAGAUGUGGCUCAAGGACUCAUUUCAUUUGCAUAUUCCAAUAUGGCUUCAAAAACCAACCGGAAAUGCAAACUUUCCAACACUAACUGUGAAACACGGUUCUUGCAGGUGGGAUUGUACAUAAGUGCCUCUUUUGUUUAUGAGGUUGUACAUAUUCAGGUCUGCUGUCUGCAUUCCUCUCAUGAUCAGCUUCAAGAGCACACGCAGAUUCUGAUACUCAGCAUCAAAACUCUUGACUUAGGAUUUCAAAAUGUGACAGGGAAAAGGGCAUAUGAAAUGAAUGAAAUAGAGAUGGUGUAUAUGUGUUGGUGUGUGCUGUUUUUCAGUCCACUCAAUUCUAUAAUUGAGAUUGGAUUACGUUAAAACAACAAUAGUACUAGUGUACUUUGUUCAAAUCAACAAUAUGUAUUUGCUACUUGUUUAGGAAAGUCACGUGAAGGUUUGGGCUUUUGUGGUGCAUGGUUCCACUCUACACAGCUGUAUUAAGCGGAUGAUGACAGCCGUGAGCAAUCCUUGAUCAACCCCUAGAAUUUUCCAAAUACAUUGAAAAAAGAAAUGGAAAUCAGAUCUUUGUCGGAGAAUGGGUGGUGGAUCCAUGUCAGAGAGGCUGAUGUCACUCAAGGAUCGGAACAUCUCUUCCAUUGAGAACGGUACCUGAAGAUCUCAAAAAUCAGAUGAAUCUGCUAAAUUGGAAAAACCAGAAAAAGAACCGGUGGAAGAGUGGAUUAUGCUUACGUGGUUCCCAGACAUUAAACCCAAGUGUGAGCACGAACAUGUUUUUGUAUGCGGAUUGAAGCAGCUACCUUUCUCAUCUGUUCAUACAGCUUACGUGCUAUUUGUGCUGCAUA